rnacentral:rRNA from 1 species
CACGCGGUAAUCGAUGAGUUAUAGGUGUUGUGGGUAUUGACCCUUGCAAUGCCGAAGAUAUCACAUUCAGUAAUCCACCUGGGUAGUACUGCCGCAUGGAUAAUUAUCAUGGAAAUUGUCGGGGGCGCGCACAAGCGGUGGAGCAUGUGCUUCAAUUCGCCGCAACUCGAAGAACCUUACCCGGAUUUAACAUUGAUGGAACCGUGUGCAGACACGGGGGUGCCCUUCGGGGCCCAGAAAAUAGGUGCUGCAUGGCUGUCGUCAGCUUUUGUCGUGAGAUGUUGGGUUAAGUCCCGCAACGAGCGCAACCCCCGCUGCUAGUUGCCAGCAGGUAAAGCUGGGCACUCUAGCGGGUCUUCCGGUGUCAAGCCUGAGGAAGGUGGGGAUGACGUCUAUUCCUCACGGCCUUUAUGUCCGUGGUUUCACACGCGCUACAAUUGUCGGUACAGAGUGGUGGGAACCUGUGAGGCAAAGUAAAUCACAAAAAGCCGGCCUCAGUUCGGAUGGGAGUUUGCAACUCGACUCCGCGAAUUCGGAAUCGUUUGUAAUAUUGGUUCAGCUUUCCACGGUGAAUACGUUCCCGGGCCUUGUACACACCGCCCGUCACACCAUGGGAGUUGACUGCUCCAGAAGUC